rnacentral:rRNA from 1 species
UGGGGAAUAUUGCACAAUGGGCGAAAGCCUGAUGCAGCGACGCCGCGUGAGGGAUGACGGCCUUCGGGUUGUAAACCUCUUUCAGUAGGGACGAAGCGCAAGUGACGGUACCUGCAGAAGAAGCACCGGCUAACUACGUGCCAGCAGCCGCGGUAAUACGUAGGGUGCGAGCGUUGUCCGGAAUUACUGGGCGUAAAGAGCUCGUAGGCGGUUUGUCACGUCGUCUGUGAAAUCCUAGGGCUUAACCCUGGACGUGCAGGCGAUACGGGAUGACUUGAGUACUACAGGGGAGACUGGAAUUUCUGGUGUAGCGGUGGAAUGCACAGAGAUCAGGAAGAACACCGAUGGCGAAGGCAGGUCUCUGGGUAGUAACUGACGCUGAGGAGCGAAAGCAUGGGUAGCGAACAGG